AGAGUUUGAUCCUGGCUCAGCCUGAACGCUGGCGGCGUGGCUAAGACAUGCAAGUCGAACGGGUGUAGCAAUACACCAGUGGCGGACGGGUGAGUAAUGUAUCGCUAAUGUGCCCUAGAGCCUGGGAUAGCCAUCCGAAAGGGUGGGUAAUACCAGAUGAAAUGUUCUUUUCGCAUGAUGAGAACCUCAAAGCAGCAAUGCACUCCUGGAGCAGGCGAUAUCGUAUCAGCUAGUUGGUGAGGUAACGGCUCACCAAGGCGACGACGCGUAGCCGGGCUGAGAGGUCGGCCGGCCACAUUGGGACUGAGACACUGCCCAGACUCCUACGGGGGGCUGCAGUAACGAAUCUUCCGCAAUGCACGAAAGUGUGACGGAGCGACGCCGCGUGUAGGAUGAAGUCCUUCGGGAUGUAAACUACUGUCAGGGGAAAGAAAGUUCUGAUCUACCCCAGAGGAAGAGACGGCUAACUCUGUGCCAGCAGCCGCGGUAAUACAGAGGUCUCGAGCGUUAGGCGGAAUCACUGGGCUUAAAGCGUGUGUAGGCGGACGGGUAAGUACCUUGUGAAAUCCCACGGCUCAACCGUGGAACUGCUGGGUAUACUGCUUGUCUUGUGCAACCUAGGGGCGAGCGGAACAGAUGGUGGAGCGGUGAAAUGCGUAGAUAUCAUCUGGAACGCCAAUGGUGAAAACAGCUCGCUGGGGGUUUGCAGACGCUGAGACACGAAAGCCAGGGGAGCGAACGGGAUUAGAUACCCCAGUAGUCC
rnacentral:rRNA from 1 species